GCUGGGCAAGGUGGCACGUGCCUGUAGUCCCAGCUACUCGGGAGGCUAAGGUGGAAGGAUCAUUCCUGGGAGUUCUGGUCUGUAGUGUGCUAUGCCGAUCAGGUGUCUGCAUUAAGUUUGGCAUCAAUAUGGUGACCUCCUGGGACCACCAGGUUGCCUAAGGAGGGGUGAACUGGCUCAGGUCGGAAACAGAGCAGGUCAAAACUCCCAUGCUGAUCGGAAACCCCAUCUCUACUAAAAAUACAAAAAUUAGCCAGGCAUGGUGGCAGAUGCCUGU
rnacentral:SRP_RNA from 1 species